GCAGAUUUGAGGCCUGAGCUAGUCGUCACUACCACAAGACAUGCAAGUGUUGCUUGUGCUGGAAUUGAUCUGCCUCCAAAAACAAUCUCAUGAAAUCGCUGUACAAGAUAAACAACAUCCCGUUGGAUUGGAAUGGAGAAACUACUGAUGUCAGCCGAGUUACGGAUCUAUUCUUCCCCUUUCUUUUAAUUCCCUCUAUCCUCGUGUACACCCAUGUGUGUGUGGUGGAUUUCACUAUUCAGCGGAUGGAUCACAUGCUGGAUGCCUGGCCGUAGAUUUACCAGGCUUAAAGAUGACGCGGAGGUGUUGGCCGUUGAGCGGAUUGGGCGUCGAUGAGAAACCGGGAAUGGAAAUGAAGAACCAAGUGAAUAAUACUAAGAAAGGUAAGAGCGACAUUGCGAUUCAGUUGAACGUACCAGCUGCCAGAUUAGUAUCUAGUGCUGUCUUUGUUGCCAGCAACGUUCUCUUAAAUAUCCGACCACAAUAUUCAACGUGCGCAGUAAUGCACUGGCUUGAAACAAAAAUGUUUGUUGUGGAGUUGGUCGGACUAUUGUAAAUAAUUUUAAAAUUCAUUUACUGUCUCAUGUGAUGGAUGCGUUGCUACUCGUAUACAUCUUGUUUUGUCCAAAAGUGGAAUAUGGAGUUGCAGGCAAAUAUUUUGAAUUUUAUUUUCGGUCGGUCCUUUUACGUUGCAUGUAAAUCCAAGUUUAAUAAAGCGUGUGCAUUAUUCGUAUUCGAUGGAGUUGUUCGAUCCUCUGCGGCAUGUGAGAUUAAUGCGAACGCCUUAGAUAUUUCGGAUUCAAUCCACUAAAGGAAACAUCAAAUUUUUUUCCCCUCGAUUCAAUCAAAAUGGAUUGAGCAUUUCCCUUUUCACGAAAGUCUGCUGUGAUAUUCAAACUCGAUCCUUUAUGUCAAUAUCAGCUGUAUGCAGUCUAGUUUCCUGUUUUGCCAGUCACGCUGCUGGAUGUCAACUGAAAAGAUUGCAAUAACCCGGAAAAAAUUCGAUGCAGC